rnacentral:lncRNA from 1 species
CCAGGUUGAUAGCUUGAAAUCAGCCAUGCUAGGAGUAUUUGUACAAUGUAAAUCAGCAAAUGCUACAAAUCAGGGUUGUUAAUGUUGUUGUUUUUCCAGAGAGCUACUUGUAGGGUUUUUUUGUUUCUUUGUUUGCUUUUGAGACAAGCUCGGGCUCUAUCACCCAGGCUGGAGUGCAGUGGCGGGAUCUCAGCUCACUGCAACCUCCCCCUCCCGGGCUGAAGCCCACCUCAGCCUCCCAAAUAGCUAGGACUACAGGCGUGCGCCACCAUGCCUGGCUUAUUUUGUUGUUGUUGUUGUUGUUGCUGUUGUUGUAGAAAUAGAGUUUCACCAUGCUGCCCAGGCUGGUCUCAAACUCAUGAGCUCAAGCAAUCCCCCCGCCUUGGCCUCACAAAGUGCUGGGAUUACAGGCAUGAGCCACUGCACCCAGCCGAGCCAGUUGUUAAACAUCUACCCAACACACCCUGAUUCUGGUUCUAGUGGAAGUUCCACCAUAUCUAGCCAUGGGUCCUUGGAUGUGGAAACAGUGGCAAUGAACUUCACCUCUACAUGCCUGAUUUUCUCACCUGCAAAGUGGAGAUUCAACCAAAUCUACCUCAUAAGGAUGGCAGCAGCAAUUCCAAGAACAACAACAGCAAGAAGAAUAAGAGAGAUCAUCUUUUCCUGGGGCUCUCUCUUAGAAAGAAGGGAAAAGGAAUGCUGCAUCCUGUGGAACUAGUGUUAUGAAAGACACAUCUUAAGAAAAACCCAUCUACCUCAACCUCAGAAGUUUCAGAAAAUUGUGCAUCUUUUCCUGUUCUUUCAUUUUAUUAAAAAUAAACCUGAC